rnacentral:misc_RNA from 1 species
CGCGUGUUUAAAAAGUCGAAAACAUGAUGAUGCACUGUCAUUUUCGAGGCGUUUUGUCGAGAUUUCAAAGGAAAAUUGCUAAUGUUUUGACGAAGACAUUGGAAAGACAACAGUUUGAGUUGUUGAUUGAUUAGUAAUUUGAUGGAAAAAGAGCAAGAAAUGUUUAAAGAUUAUGUGAUGGUAGCAGGCAACCCGAACCGGCUGGGCUUCCUUUGCAGUAAGGACUUCCACCACAGGAAGACCAAAGGUCAAUGAAGUCAUGAAUGGAUGGAUGGAUUAAAAGAACGAGACGCAAAGACAUCGUAUAUAAGGUGAUAAGAAUGAUGAUUUAAAAAGCAAAGCCAGAUAAAGUUAUAAAAACGGUUCUUUCUCACGCAAUCGCAUCAUUUCCUAAGGGAAAGAGGAUCUGGACUCCUGGGCCUCCUGUGUUAAGAACAUAGCCAAAUAUGGUGUGAAUUGAACCCAUUCAAAACAAGGAAGUGUUGACGGCGUUAAACAUGAUUAAGGUACAAAU